UUCGUCAGAUUGAACGCUGGCGGCAGGCCUAACACAUGCAAGUCGAACGGUAACAUUUUUUAGCUUGNUAGAAGAUGACGAGUGGCGGACGGGUGAGUAAUGCUUGGGAACUUGCCUUUGCGAGGGGGAUAACAGUUGGAAACGACUGCUAAUACCGCAUAAUGUCUUCGGACCAAACGGGGGCUUCGGCUCCGGCGCAAAGAGAGGCCCAAGUGAGAUUAGCUAGUUGGUAAGGUAACGGCUUACGAAGGCGACGAUCUCUAGCUGAACUGAGAGGAAGAUCAGCCACACUGGGACUGAGACACGGCCCAGACUCCUACGGGAGGCAGCAGUGGGGAAUAUUGCACAAUGGGGGAAACCCUGAUGCAGCCAUGCCGCGUGUGUGAAGAAGGCCUUCGGGUUGUAAAGCACUUUCAGUUGUGAGGAAAAGUUAGUAGUUAAUACCUGCUAGCCGUGACGUUAACAACAGAAGAAGCACC
rnacentral:rRNA from 1 species